AGGAGGAUCGGGCGCGGCGGAUACGGGCGGGGCCGACGCGUCGCUGUCCCGCGGGAAAAGCGGUGGCGGGGGGCCUUUGCCCCGCCGCGGCGGGCUCCGGCGCGAUUGGAUCGACGGUCAGGAUCGUGGGGGGGAGGAGAAAUGGGCGGCCGGAAAGGGGGUCGCGUGGAGGUACGGCCACUGGCGCAGCGGUCGCCGUCUCCACGUCGGUGUGAUCGCGACACUGGGCUAAGCCCAUCAGCAGCUGCUUGUAGUGCCUGCGAUGGUUGCAUCUUUCCCUGUCAAGCUUCAGGAGGUCCCUUUGUGCGCAGGAAUUUUGCAGGAAUCAAUCAAAUUUUCUACAAAAUUCUUUCAAUUCAACAACAAAAAAGACUUGAGCAGCAGGCGACAGGUUUGUGCUGAUUCGAGAGUUCCCGGUUGAGUCACCUUGCAACUUUGAUGCAACUGCAAACGAGUGUUCGGGAACCUUGCUGCCACUUGCAAGGCGAUGAAUAAUUGCAUAUUAGUUAACUUGUACGUUAUUCAGAAGCAAUCAAGCAAAUGGCGGCAACCUUGUAGAUAAAUAAAUAAAGAUCGGUGAUCCCGUGGGUU